GCUAAAACCUUUGAAGAGGAAUUUAUUAUAUCCUACAACUGGGUUAUAUGCCAUGAUUGGAAGCUUCCUGAAGGCCUAGCCAGGAACAGAUGUUCUCAUCAUGCUUCUUGUAUAGCCUGCAGAACUGCUUUGACACCAGCACCUGUCUAUGAAGAAAAGAGUGUGUUGUGAACGAAGUCAGAAUUUCCUGUGUUCCCUUUGCCGCUACUGGAGCUCACUGGUUCGCCUUCCAGGGAACCCAGCCUUAGAUGAUUAAACAAAUUGAGGAGGGCCUGAAGAAGCAGGGCAGCAGUGCUCUGGAGGUGGCGGAAACACAGCUGGUGUUAACGAGAUAAUGGCCUUAAUGCAUUGGGAAAAGCAGCUUGGGACCAAUGCUGUGGGGAGUCAGUCAACAGGGUCAUCUCCACACAGGAAGGACAGGAAAGAGGCUCACAAUCGCAGCAGGGGCUGUGCCUGGAGAAGGUAUUCUGGGGCAAGUUGGAUUUUCUCACAGCACUGAAACAGUAGGCUUAGUGGAAACUGAAAUCAGUCUCAUGGGAAGACAGCCCACACCUCCAACCCCUGUCAUCUUUGGAGUCCCAGAGGAUGAAUCGCUGCUGCUAAACCUCCGGACCAGGAAAGCAGUCCUAGUGGGUUUUUUUGUUUUGUUUUGUUGUUGUUGUU